GACGAACGCUGGCGGCGUGCUUAACACAUGCAAGUCGAACGGAAAGGCCCUGCUUUUGUGGGGUGCUCGAGUGGCGAACGGGUGAGUAAAACGUGAGUAACCUGCCCUUGACUUUGGGAUAACUUCAGGAAACUGGGGCUAAUACCGGAUAGGAGCUCCUGAUGCAUGGUGGGGGUUGGAAAGUUUCGGCGGUUGGGGAUGGUCUCGCGGCUUAUCAGCUUGUUGGUGGGGUUGUGGCUUACCAAGGCUUUGACGGGUAGCCGGCCUGGGAGGGUUACCGGCCACAUUGGGACUGAGAGACGGCCCAGACUCCUACGUGAGGCAGCAGUGGGGAAUAUUGCACAAUGAGCGGAAGCCUGAUGCAGCAGCGCCGCGUGCGGGAUGACGGCCUUCGGGUUGUAACCCGCUUUCGACUGUGACAAAGCGUGAGUGACGGUAAUGAGUAAGGAAGCACCGGCUAACUACGUG
rnacentral:rRNA from 1 species